rnacentral:rRNA from 1 species
UACGUAGGGGGCGAGCGUUGUCCGGAUUCAUUGGGCGUAAAGAGCUCGUAGGCGGUGUGUCGCGUCUGCUGUGAAAACUGGAGGCUCAACCUCCAGCCUGCAGUGGGUACGGGCAAACUAGAGUGCGGUAGGGGGAGAUUGGAAUUCCUGGUGUAGCGGUGGAAUGCGUAGAUAUCUGGAGGAAUACCGGUGGCGAAGGCGGCAUCCUGGACCGGCAUUGACGCUGAGGAGCGAAAGCUAGGGGAGCAAACGGGG